rnacentral:rRNA from 1 species
UGCCAGACUCCUACGGGAGGCAGCAGUGGGGAAUAUUGCACAAUGGGGGGAACCCUGAUGCAGCGACGCCGCGUGAGUGAAGAGGUAUCUCGGUACGUAAAGCUCUAUCAGCAGGGAAGAAAAUGACGGUACCUGACUAAGAAGCCCCGGCUAACUACGUGCCAGCAGCCGCGGUAAUACGUAGGGGGCAAGCGUUAUCCGGAUUUACUGGGUGUAAAGGGAGCGUAGACGGCACUGCAAGUCCGGAGUGAAAGCCCAAGGCUUAACCAUGGGACUGCUCUGGAAACUGUGGAGCUUGAGUGCGGGAGGGGCAGGCGGAAUUCCUAGUGUAGCGGUGAAAUGCGUAGAUAUUAGGAGGAACACCGGCGGCGAAGGCGGCCUGCUGGACCGUAACUGACGUUGAGGCUCGAAAGCGUGGGGAGCAAACAGGAUUAGAUACCCGGGUAG